ACCUUCGGGUCUAGUGGCGCACGGGUGCGUAACGCGUGGGAAUCUGCCCUUGGGUUCGGAAUAACGUCGGGAAACUGACGCUAAUACCGGAUGAUGACGAAAGUCCAAAGAUUUAUCGCCCAGGGAUGAGCCCGCGUAGGAUUAGCUAGUUGGUGAGGUAAAGGCUCACCAAGGCUACGAUCCUUAGCUGGUCUGAGAGGAUGAUCAGCCACACUGGGACUGAGACACGGCCCAGACUCCUACGGGAGGCAGCAGUAGGGAAUAUUGGACAAUGGGGGCAACCCUGAUCCAGCAAUGCCGCGUGAGUGAUGAAGGGCUUAGGGUUGUAAAGCUCUUUUACCCGAGAUGA
rnacentral:rRNA from 1 species